AUUGAACGCUGGCGGCAUGCCUUACACAUGCGAGUCGAACGGCAGCACGGGUGCUUGCACCUGGUGGCGAGUGGCGAACGGGUGAGUAAUACAUCGGAACAUGUCCUGUAGUGGGGGAUAGCCCGGCGAAAGCCGGAUUAAUACCGCAUACGAUCCACGGAUGAAAGCGGGGGACCUUCGGGCCUCGCGCUAUAGGGUUGGCCGAUGGCUGAUUAGCUAGUUGGUGGGGUAAAGGCCUACCAAGGCGACGAUCAGUAGCUGGUCUGAGAGGACGACCAGCCACACUGGGACUGAGACACGGCCCAGACUCCUACGGGAGGCAGCAGUGGGGAAUUUUGGACAAUGGGCGAAAGCCUGAUCCAGCAAUGCCGCGUGUGUGAAGAAGGCCUUCGGGUUGUAAAGCACUUUUGUCCGGAAAGAAAUCCUUGACUCUAAUACAGUCGGGGGAGGACGGUACCGGAAGAAUAAGCACCGGCUAACUAAGU
rnacentral:rRNA from 1 species